UGGAUCUUUAUUCUCCUCAGGCCCAAACAAAACAAACGAAAUUCAAAACAAAACGAAUACGUCCAGGAAACAAAUAAAAAGCAAGGAAGCAAGAAAGCAAACCAAAACUAGAAAAAGAAAAUAAAAUCGGCCCAAGUAAAAAUAGCCCACAAUAACAAUGACCCAGCAGACGAAUAGGCAGGGGAUCUCUAAGACCAUGUGUCCCAGCUAGAAACCAACAAUUAACCCCAACUUGAAAAUAACGCCACCUCCUAGGAAAACAGCAAUUCAUAAUUAUCAUCCAUCACUUCCAUCCAUCAUCAGCAAACCGAAAACACCUACUCCCAAAAGACCCAUCUCUAAAAGAAACCAACCAUUAGCUUUCUUCAAAAACACCUCCCCUUUCAACUUCAAUAGUCUGUCCCGCUAUCUCCCUUAAAUGCUCUGUCCAUCUCUAUUCCUCAGCCGCCAUAGCCUCAGCCCCAGGAGGAACCCUAUUCGACAGAUAAGUAGAAACUCCCAUUUUAAUUCCUUUAGUCGCAAUUGCAUGAGCAACUCUGUUAGAAUCCCUGUUUAUGAAACGAAAAACACAGAAAUUGAAGUUUAAACUCUGUUGCUUUGAAUCUUUGAUGAAUGCUGCGAUUUCAAAUCUGUCCUCUUGUUCUUCUUGUAGUUUGUGGAUCACCGUCCGAGAGUCUCAUUCCACUUCCACUUCCACUUCACUCAGUCCAAGUUGUAUACCCAGAUCAAGAGCCUAGAGGCACGCCACCAUCUCAGGCGAAAAAACUGACGGUAUAUUCACAUUUAAGAUAGUACUUGAGAAAAUCACUUCCGCUUUUUCAUUUCUGACUACUGGCCCAGAACACAAUUCUCUUUUAUGUCUGUUGAAAGUGGCAUCGAAGUUUAUUUUAACUCUUGAUCCAAUCGGAGUUGCCCAUCUUACCGUAGGGAUCCUUCUCUCAUGUACAUACAUGUUCAACCCUUCUAAUUCGUUUAAGUAGUUAAGAACAAAUUCUGCAAUUUGGGAUCCCGAUUUCAUUUCCCCCUCAUGAACAAACUUAUUUCUGGAAUUCCAAAUCACCUAUAAUGCACAUGUAAACAAUCGGCGCUUGGAAAUAGAGUGAGAACAAAAAAUAUGUAUUAGAACUUCUUGAAAAUCAGUGUUAACCCCUGAACUAGGCCAACAAAAGUUUAACUUCUCCCACAUUUCUUUUGCAACAGGGCAGUCUCUGAAUAAAUGCUCUAUCGUUUCUGCUCUUGCUUGACACCUUUGACAACUGGAAUAAUUCAUCAACCUCCUAAAAUGUAUGUUACUACUAUUACGAAGAUAGUUACAAGAACAUCCCCACAUUGUAAUUUUGAUUUUACGUUGCAGCUCUAAAUUCCAUAGUUGCUUGUAAAAAUUUUUAUACCUAUUCUAUAUUUGAUUUUGGCCUUCGUGUAAAAGAUACUUGUAUCUAUUACAGACCGAGUAUUCACCAGUCAACUCUCCUCUCCAAAUAGUGAGAUCCUCAUGCGAGCUCAAGGCCAAUGGAAUACAUAAGAUUCUCUCAGCCUCGCUCUCCGUAAAGGUACUAUAAAUCAGGUCCGUAUUCCAUUUCCUUGUAUAAGAAUCAAUCAAAUCUGCUACCUUUAUCAACCCCGGAUUGGGAUUUAAAUUCUGAAAUCUAACUUCCUCAAUUCUAGAGACCCAAGCAUCAUCCCAAAUGGACACUUGCCUACCAUCGCCAAUCUGCCAUCCCAAACCUUUCAUAAGGAGACCCUUUGCAGCCUAAAUGCUCUACCAGGUAAAGGAAGGUAAAUUACCUAACCUAGAGUUUAAAAAAUCGAAGUCCUUAUAAUAUUGUCUUCAAAGUGCGUGCUAGUAAAGAAUUAGGAUUACGUAAUAAACGCCAACCCUGUUUGGCCAAUAACGCAAUAUUAAAAAGGCUAAGACUACAAAAACCCAUACCAUCAUCCUCCUUGAGCUCGCUAAGAUUCUUCCACUCGCAGAAUGUAUCAUUUUCUUCCCACUACCAUUUUGCCACCAAGAGAAGCUCAUUGUUUUUUCUAGUUCAGAACAAAAUGAUUUUGGCAAAAGAAAACAUGCCAUUGAAAAGGUAGGAAUUGCUUGUAAAACAGCUUUUAUAAAAACCUCUUUACCGCAUUGAGAAAUAAAUCUUAUGCUCCAGCUGUUAAUCUUCUAUUUCAACCUAUCCUUCAGGUUUUGAAAAGCCCACCUUUUUUUUCCUUCCUAUCCUAUUUGGAAGUCCCAAAUACUUCUCCAUAUCAUUUGAACACCUCACAUUCAGACCAUGCAAGACCAUAUCAUUUGAACACCUCACAUUCAGACCAUGCAAGACCAAGUUUUUCCCCUGAUCAAUCACAUUUGUGCUAAAAAAAUAGUGGAUUUUUCAAAAUUGACGUAUGCCUUGAACAAGUGUCAUAUUACUAGAAAAUUUCUCUAAAUGCAUUUAUCUCCCUGUUAGACACCUCACCAAAAAGGAUACAAUCAUCUGCAAAUAUAAGAUAAGUAAUUGUUAGAAAAGAUCUACCUUUCCUAAUUUGCCAAUCUCAUAAGUGCCGACAAACCUUCUCCACAGAAUAGAAACAAAUAAGGGCUUAACGGGUCAUCUUGGUGCAAUCCCCUUGUUGCCUUAAAAAUUGAGCCCUCUUCCCCAUUAAUUAAAAUAGAGUAUUUAACAGAAUUAAUACAACGGAAAAUAACAUCCAUAAAUACUUCUGUACAACUCAUUUUUGUCAUUACCCCUUUGAUAAAAGACCAUUUCACUCUAUCAUAGGCCUUACUCUUGUCAAGUUUCAAAGCCAUAAACCUUUUUCUACCAGCUCUUUUAUUUUUCAAAAAAUUAAGUACCUCGUAUGCCAGCAACACAUUGUCCGUGACGAGUCUUCCAAGUACAAACGCGCUCUAAGCCUCAUCAAUACAACCAUCCAGCACCUCUUGUAAACAAUUUUCCACUGUCUUAGCGAUGAUUUUAUAAAUCACCGUACACAGACUUAUGGGACGAAAAUUUUUCAAGUUCAAAGGAUUAACAGUUUUUGGGAUCAGCACUAUUUACGUCCUAUUAAUAUCUUCCAGCGAACAACCUUCAUUCAAGAUAUUCAAGCAGAAUUCAUUAGUGUCCUUACCAAUAAUACUCCAAAAUUUCUGGUAAAAUAUUGCUGGAAAAUCGUCAAGCCCAGACGCCUUUGUAGGCCUCAUACCUUUCAACACCUUCACGAUCUCUUCCUCUGAAUAAGGAGCCAGCAACCUCUGGUUCAUACUAUCAGAAAUACAUGAAUGAACCCCUGAAAGGACAUGCUCCAAAUUUCCAACACCUCUAGACCCGAAUAACUGUGAAAAAUAAUCCUGAGCAAUAUUCUUGAUGUCCUUCCCCUCCAUAGUAAUAGAAUCAUCAAUUCUUUGUAAACCACGAAUUCGAUUGGUACAUCAUCUCUGAAAGGCAUGUUUGUGGAAAAAAACGGUAUUUUUAUCUCCCAUUUUUAACCAGUUAACUCUUGUCCGUUGCUCACAAUACCUUUCUUCCUUGUCCAUCUCCAUAUUCAAAUGUAAUUUCACCUCUAUGAGUUCUUCCAAAUUCCCUUCCGACCUAUCCUCGUAAUUUAAUUCCUCCAGUCUUCUGCUCAAUCGUUGCACUUCUCUCGUUCUCUUAUGUUUUAUCCUUCUCGCCCAAUCCUUCAACCCCAAAGCCAAAAUUGACAUGCGAUUAAGGAAAGAACCAGAACUUACAUUCCAUAGCUUCCUAAUCAUUUCCUCAUACGACUCUUCAAGAACCCACCAAGCUUCAAACCAGAAUCUAGCUUGUCCUUUAUUCAACUCUCCCUUAUUCGUCUCAAUGAGCAAGGGACAAUGAUUCGAUAAAGAGCGAGGAAGAUGCCUUAAAGAAUAUGUUAGGAAAAGUUGGAGCCAGCCAUCAGUAGCAACUCCACUGUCGAGUCUUUCCCUAAUAUUCUGGUCCAUUAUUCGACCUCUUUCCCAAGUAAACCAAAGCCUAGAAAAACCAAUAUCCACCAAUUGGCAAGCAUCUAAUGUUCGACGGAAAGCCUCCAUUCGAUCCUCCUCCCUAGGUAAACCCCACUUUUUUUCAUGAGUAAAAAGAAUAUCAUUAAAAUCACCACCUACAAUCCAAGGAAGCGAAUUAUUUCUCCCCAAAAUUUUGAGUAAUUCCCACGUCUUCGCCUUAUAUCUUACAUCUAAGGCUCCAUAAAAACCCAUAAAACGCCACUGAGGACAGCUCCUCUUGGUUUUCCACAUCAAUGUGGACUUUUGAGAAACUUUUUAAGGCGACUAAUUGUCCUCUAUUCCACCCAAUACUUAAUGCCCCUCGAGAACCAUCUGCAGGGACAUCAACUCUAUAACAAAACCCACACCGUCUUUUAACACCCUCCAUACUACUAGCAUCUAAUUUAGUCUCCAUAAAGAAAACAAUUUGGGGAUGAUGAAGUUUCACCAUAUGCUGAAAUCUUCUAACUGCUCGUAGACUCUCCAAUCCACGAACAUUCCAGCAAUAAAUUUUCAUUUCUUUUGGUCGGCAUGCUCCAUGGCAGCCACCGAUAUCUGUUGUUUAUGAGCUAAAAUCCCACCAAUAACCUCCAAUGAAUCCUGACCAUUAGAAAUAUUAGAGAUCAAAAAAUCGAACCUCUAUCUUUUUUUUCUUUCCUCAUUAAUUAUUGGAUCCUCUACUAAUUCACAUUCCAUACUUGAUAACUCCACUCCAGCAGUGGUCCCCUUGUCGUCAGAAUAUUUCCUCAAAACACUUCCUUGAACAAAUGUCCCACCAAUUGAAUUUUCCCCUUCCCCACAGUCUAUCCCUCAUUAUUUCCGAAAAUCCCCCUUUUCUGACCAUUAUUCAAGAUGACUAGAAUAUUGCAACCUUCCAAAUUUAUCCCCAAAAGAUUGUGCACAUUAGCCUAUGAUCCACGCGUCUGAUUUUGGCUAGAAUUUUGACCAAAUUGCAUCUCAACAUGAUACUUUCCAAAAUUACUAUCACUUUCCUCCCUCAACCAAAUACUAUUGACAGUGCUAGUUCUCCUCACUAGAGCCCUCAACUUCAGAUCCCAUCCCAACUCUAAUUCCUGCAAACCAGUUUGUAAUCGCAUCAGGCAAAAAUUAUCUCCAUGCCCAAGGUAGCCACAUAAAAAGCAAAACAAAGUUAAUUUCUCAUAUUUAAAUUUUUUAUAAGUGAAUUUUGAGGCAGAAAUCAUAAUUUUUUUCUUCCUUUUCAAAGGACUUCUAACAUCAAUCUGAACACGAAUACGCAUAUAGUUCCUAUAACCAUAAAGAACUUGUUUCGUAUUAUACUCUAAAAAUCGGCCAAGGAAAUUUCCAAACUGCAACGCCAUUGAGUCUUUGAAAAAACUAGGUGGCAAGUCAUGCACCUGAACCCACCAGUCUGAAAAUACUAAUGGCACAGCCAUCGGAUCUUCGUUCUCCUGAAUCCUAUAGAAAAUCAACAGGUGAUUGUUGAAAGUCCAAGGAGCUCCUAUAAUAACCUGAGAAAUAUCAAGCUCGUUAAAAAACUUGAACAAAUAACGCCUCCCCCCCAAAUCCGUUAUUUGCAUCCCCUCCAAAGGAUGCCAAAUAUUUGCCAAAGUAUUCCUCAUGGCUGGGAAAUCCACCACACUAGCCGUAAGAAAACGCCCAACCAAAUAAAAUUUGUAAAUAGUGGACUAUUCACCUACCUCUCCUGGCAAAACGAAAGCAUCUUAUUCCCCAUCUUCUAGACUCAGAUCUGCAAUACCACUUUCCAUCCCCCCCAAUCAGCACCAGAACACAACUUCCUAGAUCGCGAACUAACAUAGAACCAGAUUCAAAAUAAAAGAAAACUAAAACUUGAAAAAGAAAAGAAGAGAAGACUCCAAAUCGUGCCACCAGGCAGACAGAAACGCGCCAGUCGGCAGAAGUUAAAUGACUAUUACUAGUACUGAAUAAAAUAGGGAAAGAAAAAUAUUAAAUUUUUACCUAUUAAAUUAAAAAUAACAUAAAAAUGUAUGUGUACGCUUAAAACAAAUCUAAAUUAAUCAUUUAUAAAUUUAGACAAAUUAAUGUGAAUAAAUCAAAAUUAAGCAAACAAAUGUCAUUUAUAAAUGUAAUCUGAAUUUGAAUUGCAUAUACUUUCCCCUUAAAUAAUAUUUUUUUUAAAAAAUAUUCUAUAAAGAAAUCUCUAACAGUUUAAUUUGAGCAACAAAUAAUGUUUCUUGGUAUAAGUUAGUGGUAAAUGGUUCCCCAUUUUAGGACAAUUGAUAAUUGAUAUAUAAAUAACAAUAACAUAAGCUUUGAAUAAUAAGACAACUUUUACUUUUCAUACACUCCUCCAACAUGUCUUAAAACUGUUUCCACAAAUUGUGCUAUGCAACAUUUGAGUUUUCAUUUUCCAUAUCUGUAAAAUUUGAUUCCAUUAAUUCAUUUAAUCAAAAAUUUAUAAUUGAUUCCACUGGUAUGGAUAUUGUUGUUUUUGUAGAAGGACAUGGGUUGAAGUAUGUUAAAGCACAUUAUCUUCUUAUUUAUGGGUUGGGGAGAGAUUAUGAAUAGUUUUAAAUAUUCUGCAAAAAAAUAUAUAUAUAUAAUCAAAAUUUAUAAUGAAAUUAUAUAAAAAAAUUUGAAAGAAAAAUCUCAACGUUAUUAAGUCCAUAGUUUUGGAUAAAAUAGAAGGCUAACUUGCGGAUUUCCAGCACCUAUAUUGCCGAUAUUAAGCGCACCUCAUUACACUCUCAAAACAGACAACCCACAAUUUUAUCCGGUCUUUCCAAAUGUUAAUUUUUUUAUAUAUUUUAAUUAUAAAAAUAUUUAUAUAAAAAUAAUAUUUAAUUUAAAUAAAAAAAUUAGGAAUAAUUUAAACUACUUGACUCCCCUAGAUGUGGAUUUACUUGCAAAAGCAUACAAUUUGAUUUUAACUUUUUUUAGGUAAACUAAAUUGGUAGUAAUUUUGCUAUUAAUAUUCUUCUUUUUAUCUAUGAAAGAUUAUAAAAUUAUUAUUAAACUAUUUAAAUUUUUUAGUCACUCAACUGUUUGAAUUAUUUUUUAUUUAUCAGUCAAUAAAUUAUUAAUGGGAAGAUAACUUGGCAGUUUUUGAAAUUGGUAUAAUAGAAAUUUUAAUACUCAAUAUUUAUAUUUAUGUCAAUUUAGUUUUGAUUCCAAAAAAUUAACCAUCAACAUUUUAUACAUUAUGUAAUUUGAGUUUUUUUAUUUUAUUUUUGCAACAUUGAGAAUUAAUUUUAACAGAAUGAGAAAAGAUGAAAACUAUUAUCUUGGAUUUUCAGGUGUUUUUAUUUUUGAUAUAUUUUCAAUCGAAUUAAUUGAUAGAUUUACUUUUUUAGCUUCUUAAGUAAAAUAGUCACAAAAUUAAAAAAAGAUUAAGAGCAAAUUACAUAAUGUGUAACCGUUGGGGGUUAAUUUUUUUCGAAUCAAGACUAAAUUGAUACAACGCAUAAAUAUUGAGGGUUAAAAUUAUUUUUAUAUCAAUUUUAAAAGUUACUAUGUCUUCUUCCUCUCAAAUCGAUUAGAUGAUUAUAAUUUAGUGAAUAAAAUAAAAAGUUAAUUACAAAUGUUACCUUUUAUAUUUAUAGUGGCAAAUUGAUGGAAAAUAAGUUAUUGAGUACAGAAUUAAUUGUGAAUUAACAUUAUUGAUAUUAUUGUGUACGUUAUAAUUUUAGUACUAAUAAUAAAAAAUUAAAAAAAGACCAUUCUCAAAGUUUUAGAUUUUAGGUAUUCCACGGAAAAUUUAUAUAUUUAAAAAUGGAUGAUGUGAAAUUUUAAUUAAAGUUUUCUGGACCAUUCUCUUAAUUAAAAUAUAAAAUUACAUAUAAGUAAUAUAUUAUACCAUAUCACUUUUUAUAAAUUAUUUUUUUCUUACAUAUUUAUUUUAUUGUUUAUGUUCAAAACUUAUAUCCGUUAAUAAUUUGUGACCCGUUUUUUUUCUUUUAAAUUAAUUUUUUAAAUUUAUCUUUAAACUUCUUAAUAUCCAUAAGAAACCAUUCCAAAUAAAUCUAACAAUUCAUGUAUCAUAUAAAGUUUGAAAGGUUGUUUAGUUAUUUUCUCACAUCAUAGGAAUAAACCAUUGCCUACUCAAUUGAGUUGAUCAGCAAGUUCAUAAAGCAAAACUACACACACACAUGCCAGAAACUAAAAGAAAGGGGCAAUUAAGAAUUCACAGUGUGGACACAAUCAAAAGGACCAAAUUUCUUGGAGGGUGAUUCUACCAUAAGGCUAAAAGAUUCAUAUCCUCAAACCAUGCCGAUUAAUGCUACUUACAACUCCAACAUAAUCUUUAUACCUUGUUAUGAUCCAACUUUGGAUACAUCUUUGGUGGACCGGUUGUAUUUCAUGUGACUCUGAACAAGCUGACCACUGGCUAUUGCAGCCAUUAAGGAAAGUUCCCCCGCCAGGACGGAGCCGGCCACGAUCUUUGCCAAGAGCCUUAAGUUUGCGCCUGGUAGUUCUUUAGUAGCCCCCUUUACUCCAAGCAAAUCCAGGCAUGCAGACUGUGAUGCAAGUUGAGUUCCGCCCCCUAUGGUUCCGACCUCAAUGGAAGGCAUAGUCAUAGAUAUGUGAAGAUCUUUCUCAUCAUUGACAGCUUCCAUUAUGGUAAUGUAAUGGGAGCUUUCGACAUUUUGGGCCGGGUCUUGUCCGGUUGCUAUGAAUAUAGCAGAGACGAUAUUGCUUGCGUGGGCAUUAAAUCCACCGAGAGCACUGGCGACAACCGAAUCGGCUAGGUUCUUCAGCAUGUUGAGCUCUACGAGUGUAACGACAUUGGUUCAGAAAACCUUCUUCAGUACUUCUUCUUUGAUAACUGCUUCACAAAUCACACAUCGCCAAUUUCCCUCGCCCUUCAAUCCAGUUAAUAUCGGCAAGUUUCUUGUCGAAACAAAAGUUUCCUAGCAAACAAACAAAUGAAAAAUCAACUCUAAGCAUACAAAGUUUGGCACCAUGAUAAUACCGGAUUGAAUUACCAUUGAUGAAACUUAGAACUGUAUGCAUAUGAGAAUCGAACUUUACUAGAGAUACUGAUAAUAUCCAUGUCCGAAUACUUAUUUUGAAGGUAUGCAAGGACGUUCUCGACUCCCUUUGAAACCAUGCUUAUCCCCAUGGCACCCCUGUGGUGCAGCUAAAUCUCGUAUAGAGAUUUUUACCAGAAAUGGAACAUUGGACACCCUGAAGUCUUGCAAAGUUACUUGACCUGGCAAACAGAGCAACAUACAUCACUUCUUCUAUGAACGCAUACGAAAUCAAUACCUAAGCAAAGAAAACAAGAAUGGGUGAAUAGAUUUAAGUUUUGUUUACGUUACUUAUUGAAUUCGUCGGCCAAUGUCUGAAAAUUUGAAGGAUUGUCGAGGAAAAACUUGAGAUGGCAAGCUCUAGAAGCUGAAGGGAACCGAACGACUGGAGCUCUGGUCAUACCGUCCCUCAGAAUAGUGCUGGUGGCACCACCAGAUGCAUAAAUACCCUUAAAUCCUCUAUUGGUGCUUGCAACAAUGCAGCCCUCAGUGGUAGCCGUUGGCACAAUGUACUCGAAACCAUCGAGGAGCAAUGGCCCCGCAAUCCCCAAAGGAAUCUGAACGUAUCCUAUUGGCAUUUCGCAGCACUGCUUCAAAAUAGAGCCAUAACCGAAGCCAUCCAAAGGUAAGCCUUGCAACGACCUCCUAGUAAUCCUAUGCAACGCCUCUUCGAAUUCGAACCGCUCUCUUGGAAUCUCCGACUUGCUCUUCCAGCGCGUAUGAAGGGAUUGUUCCCUUGACAACCAAAUCCACUAUUUCUUCGUCUUCGGCGGAGGAAACCGCCAGAAUUAUAUGGUCGGCGAUAGAAGGAGCGCAAGCCAUCAGUCGGUGACGAUGAUCCUCGCCUUCUUCUUCGUCGACGAGGUCCCAAGCCUCGUUGGAGGCGCGUGCAAUGAACGACUGGACAAAGUCGAUACCGAAGAAACCAAUGAGGUAUAUAAAGGAGGCGAUGAGGGAAAGAAUAGCUGCCAGUUCGGAGAAAGUGACGACGUGAAGGGGAACGGAGUUACGGAUCUUGUCCCGAGGAGGUAGUACGCCACCGAGAAGAAAAGCGUGAAGAAAAGAGCGUUAGUGAAGUAAAAAGGGAGCGGGAGAGCAUCCGAUGCCUUGGCGCCAGUAGGUUUCGGUACGGAUGACGGCUCCUUCGGAGCUGGUCGAAGUGCUUUAGAAGGUCGCCGUCGAACGUCCAUUAAAAAAUCUCUGACGAAAUAGACAGUACGGACAGGAGUAGUAGUAGGUGAGAUAAUGGUGGACGACAGAGAGGAAAUUGCCUAAAGGAAUUGAAGCGAUAAUUAAGGACCAAAUGGGGAGGACUGUGUUUUUUUUUUCUCUAAUGUUAAUGUAUUGCUGAACCUCUACUUGACUUUAGUUAUUAAUUAAAUCCAUAAAAUUGAUGAUAAUAGUUCUUUAAAUAGGGAGGAAAACGCACUUAAAUUCAGUUUUCUUUAUUUUUUCAAUAAUAAUAAUAAUGCUACAAAUUUAACUUCAUGCUUAUGCAUGUUCCUUCCAUUUGUAUGAUUUAAAGUGAUUAGUUUUCAGUUUUCUUCCAUUUACUCUAUUUUGGGAUAAUAUCAUAAAUGGUAUUCCUACUUUAAUUCAAUAUACAAUGAGAUGUCGGUGUGUAAAUUUAUACAUUAAUUCCUAAGUUUUUUUCCUUUGUUCCAUUUUUAAUUGAAUCUCUUCGGCAAGCGAAACCUACUCUAUCCUUGGAAGAAGGAAAUGAAUUGCACAAAAGUGUCAAGAAAAUUAAGAAAGAGCUUAAUCUGUAAUUUGAGAGAGUUUAGACAAUCAUGUUAGACUUGAAAAUGGGUUUGGCUAAAAUUUAUAUUCAUUUAAAAUAUAAACCAGGCUUGGACUCAAGCAUUCAAGGCCCAAGCCCAGUUCAAUCUGUUUUUUAAGUUUGUAAUAUAUUAUAGGGAUAAAUUUUAAAAUUAUACAUAAAAUUUGACCUAAUGUGCAAUUUUAUACAUUAAAUUUUGAUUUGAUCCAAUUCUCAAAAAUUGUAACACAAUUAUUAAUAUAGCAUCAGGAAAAUUCUAGCAUAAUCUCUUACAAAAGAGCUAAUAAAAAAAGCUAGAGGUAAGCUUCAUAGAAAAAUAGCUAUUGGAUUUAAAAAGUUUAAACCUAAACCAUUGAAAGGGGGAAGAGAAAUCAAAAGGUUUUUUGUUUUUGUUUUUUGAAAAAAUGGAAGGAACCAAAUAAGAUUUCCGAAAAAAAGGGAAAUGAAACGUUUUUACUGUCCAUCGUGCUUUAUUGUUGAAGGCUGUAGGCUAGAGGCAGUGCUCACUGGAUAAGAAAGGAAACUAAGAAGUAGAGAAAUAAAAAAAAGGGAAACAGUUUAUUUAAACAAGGAUGGAAAUAAGGUUUUUUUAAAAAGAUUUGCUUUUAUAGCCACGAUAAAGGGGAAAACUGCAAUUAAGUCCUCUUACAUGUUUAACAACUGUAAACAUGGGGCACUGUAAGUGAUAUUUACAAUUUUAGCCUCUCUUACUUUUUUUUUUGAAAUUUUGAGGCAAAUUAAUUACCAAUUAAGUCCCCAUGUUUCUUACAUUUUUUCAAUUUCAAACUUAAAUCCCUCCUUUGUUUAUUUUGUUUUAUUUGAUUUGAUUUUUCUUUAUUAUUAUAGUUAUUUUUAUUAUUACUAUUAUUAUCAUUAGUAUUUAUUGGAGUUUUUGACACAGCUCAUUCCAUGUUCAGUUACAACAAGUAUGAAUUUAUGCUUGCACCCUGGGAAGUUUUCCAGCCUCCUUGAUGUUUUGAUGUUUAUGACCUACAAAGUUGUGGCAUGUUUGACAAAAAAAAACAAUUGGUGUUUGGCUAGGACUUUUUAAUUCUUCAACCGAUCCUAUUGAUGCGGCCAUGAGUUUAUUGGAUAAGGUUUGAGUUCUUAUCUAUAUCACCUUAGUUGAAUGAAGAGUUGUUUAAGGGAUUUUUAUUAGAUUUUCCCAAGGGAUUUUUUAAAGGAAUUACCUAUUGUCUUAGGGGAGAUUAUCUUGUGAUCUCAAGUUGCUAUUUGACACAAAUAGGUGUCACUUUCCCAUGAUUCUAACACCCAUACCCGACCCAAUCUUCAGGUUCGAGCUACCGAAUGUCACAUUUGUUGUCGGAGCAACUAUGAUCGAUUACAAUUCAAUUUAAUAGUUAAUACAUAUUAUUAAGUUCAAAACAUCAUUAAUAUAUGUUAUACAAUCAUAUACAAACCUUAUACGAGCUUACGAAAGCUCUUUGGAGAACUCGAAGUCGAAAAAAGACCAAAUCGUAAAAUUUUCAAACUAUCAGGUUGACGUCACAACUUCGAGAGUUAUGGGUGGCGAUGUAAAACUUACUAAAUUGUCCUUGUUGCGACAUUAAGAGCCCCACGUUGUGACGUAACCAUUUGUUUUCAAAAGGUCCAAAUGGUACGAAUUUAUAACUCUUAAACAAAACAAUCGAAUAUCUCAAUUCAACCAUUUUAGCAAUUAAACCAUUAUCAUAUGACUAUUUCUAUCUUUCAGCAUCAUACAUACAUAUGUAUUACACCAAUUUAUCAUUUCAACUUCAAUUCAAUUAACAAUUUCCACAUGUUCAACCAUUUAAGUUAUCUCAACUACUUAUGACAUAUUCAUAUAUGUACAUUUAACAAGUUAUAAACUUUACUCAAACCACAUUACCAAUUUGGAAUUCAAAAUGACCAUUUCGAUAUAAAAUCGAAUCAGAACCCUAGGUAUAUGCCAUAUGUCAAAAUGAAAAAGGGACUAUAUAAACAUUGCUGAGCUGAAGACUACGAAUUUGAUGUUGAGUUACUUCUCAGAACUUCGAGAUCCAUCUAUACUUGCGCACGGAAUAAACAAACUAUAUGCUGAGCGAUAAAGCUCAAUAGUACUUUCAUGAUUCAAGCCGUACAACAAAAUCAUUAACAUAAUAAGAAUACAACCAAUGCAUAAUUCAAUUUUAACCAAUUCAAUUCAUUAAUUCAUGAUUCAUAUGCCAAUUUCAUUCAUUAUCUUAAUUAGCAAUUCAAUAUAAACAUAACAUGACAAUUUUCUACUAUUAAGAGUGUAAGUGUUACCAUUUCAAAUCAUACCAUUUGAUUAUACCAAUAUCACAUUUUCGUAUCGAAUCUACUAAUUCGCUUAGUUUCCAUAUCGUCACUCUGGGCUCGUAUAAACUAGUUCAUAUGGUUUUAUACAUGCUAUCAAUAAUCACAUUUCACGUAUAUGCACUUGUAGUGCUAUUUCAUAUUAUCAAAUCAAUUCAAUAUCAUAUAACCAAUUCACAUUUUAUAUUCCCUAAUAACUUAACUAGGACUCGAGACCGAUACACGAAUUAUCCAACCAACACACCAAUUUGGCACCCAGUGCCUCAUCAAAACAUUCAAAGUAUAUAUAUUGCUCCCAACACUCAUAGAUGUAAUUGAAGUAAAAGGUAAGCCCAACACUCAUCAAAAUGACUGACGUAUAUAAAUUACACCUAGUGCCCAUCAGUAUAAUUGAAUUAAAAGGUAUGCCCAGAACUCAUCAGAAUGUCAAAGUAAUAUGCGCCCAGCGCUCAUCGGCAUAUAGUAAAAGUAUAACCUGUACACAAUGUAACCCUAUGGCAUGCCAACUAUAUCCAACCCUGCUGAACAGUUAAUAAGGUACCAAUGAUCCAAUUUCAUAACCAAUACAUAUAUCAUAAUUUCAUUUCAAAUUCAUUUUCACUUCAUAUAUGUCUAAUAUCACAUAGCAUGGUUUAUACCAUAUGCAUAUCACAUAUCAUAUAUUGAUUAUAUCAUACUAUUUUCUACUAUAUUCACUUUAGUCCCAUUUCUCAAUAUUCAAUAUCAUUUAAUAGAAUCAAUUUGUAUGACAAUAUAAGCUUACCUCGAUAGUAAAUCAUGUAAUCAACAUAUAUAGACAUGUAUAUAUUCAAUGAUCUCAAAUCAUAAAAGUACAAAUCAAAAUUCUCUCGUCACUCGUCAAUGACUAUUACUUUUCCUGUAACACCCCUAACCCGUAUCCGUCAUCGGAAUAGGUACGGAGCAUUAUUGUAAAAACAUAAAUUUCCAAACAUUAAUAUAAACAUAGCAUAAUCCAUUCACAUACAUGUAUAUCGUCCUUAUAAUAGCCCUUUUUUGUCAAAUCGGAAUAAUGGUUUUGGGACCACAAAUCUGAAGUCAAAAUAUUUAUUUUAUUAUUUUAUUAAGGUGUACAUCAUGAUAGAAUUAUUGAGUGAAAUUUUCGUAAAGAAAUUUUACCGUUUGAGUGUUUAAUUCUGUAAAAAGGACUAAAUCGCGUAAAGCGUAAAAUAUGAGUUCUAUAAGUUAAAUAAACCAAAUGACUAUAGAAAUGAAAUGAAUGAGUACUUGCAUGGUAAUUAUCCCAUUAUUAGCAUUAGUGGACGGCAAUGGGCAUGCAUUAUGUGAUUUUUAUAUUUAAUUAAAAAGGUUAAAAUGGUAAAAUGGUUAUUAUAGUUAACUAAAUAAAAACAAAACAUGAAAAUGUUCAUCUUCUCCACUGAAACUAAAGCUUGAGAAAUCCAAUAAACAAUUUUGAACAUUCGGCCACUUUGAAGGCUAGACUAAGGUAUGGUUUUAGCUCGAUUUUUAAUGAUUUUUACGUUUUUGAGAUCGUUGCUUUGUAUUCUAGCUAUCUCGUACCCUAGAUUUUGAAAUUGUUAAAGAUUUAUCAUGUUUCUAUUGUUCAAUGCUUGAGUAAUUUGACGAUUUAUGAUAGAUUUGGAAGGUUUAAUGUUAGAUUAAUAGCUUUUGUAAAAUGAUUUUUGACAAAAAUGUCAAAAAGGAAUUAAAUUAAGAAAAUGUGAAAUGUGGCGGUUAAAAGUGGGAAUAAAUUGAAAAUAUGGGCUGCUAGUAACAUGUAUUAAAUUUGACUAAGCAUGGGUUUGUACUAAAUAGCAUGAAUUUUCAAUUUUAUGUGAUAAUGACUAAAUUAUGAAAAUGUGAAACAUUAAGGGCAAAUGUGUAAAUUUGCCAAAUUGUAAAUUAUAUGCUAAAUUGAAUAGACAAAAUGCUGAAUCUGCUAAAUUUGAUAAUAUUUAGAUCAAGAUAAGACAAGAUCGAGAUUAGAUCAGGGAAAAGGAAAAGUGGACGAAUAGUCGAUAAUUUCUAUCCGAGCAACUCGAGGUAAGUUCAUAUAAUUAGAAUCAAAUUUUUAAAUGCUUGUAAAUUAUUUGAAAUGAAAGUAUAAUUGAGUAAAUGGUAUUACUAAGUUCGAAUGCCUAAUUGAUGAGAAUUAUUGAAUACUGAGUCCCGUUUAAAUCGUAGAAAGUCGUAGGAUACGAGUGACAUGUCACUAGGGUUACCAUUUUAGUCAAGAUCCUGCAUGUGUUGCGGACUCACCACAGCUUGUGUGAGCUUACUGAUAUAUCAGCUCGUAAGAGCUUACUAUUUUCAGAUCGUCAGAGCUUACCGUUUCAGCUCAUUAGAGCUUACUGUCCAUCAGCUCAGGAGGAGCUUACUGAUCAUAGCUUGAAAGAGCGGAAAUAAUAAUGAAUUGACAGAUUACUGAUUUUUACAAGUAAUGUAUAUCAUCCGAGUAUCCCUCGAUAUUCUAAUAGGUUCAACGGGCAUAAAUUUUAUUAUUGGUUAUGUGAAAAAGCUAUGUGUUUAUACGGAUGAAUUACCAUUGUCGAAUGAAUUAUUAUUUAUAUGAUUGAAAGUGAAAUGUUAUAAAUGAUGUACGUGAUAUAUGAAUUUGAUUGAUACAAUGUAUUGAGUAUUAAAUUGAGAUAAUGGAUGAUUACAUGCAUUUAUGUGACUAACUUGUUGAUGAAUGCUUGUUCUUAGGCAUUUGGUAAUUGAAUUAAGUAUACCUUAUUUACGGUCUUGAUUUAUUUAUGGUCUUAAUUAUGUAUAAAUGGUAAGUUUAAUUCUAAAUUAUAUGGGCUUACUAAGCUAUAAAGCUUACUCUAUUUCUUUUCCGUGUUUUAUAGAGGUUCGAUAGCUCACUUGAUUCGGAUAAAGUCGGAGAUACGCAUCACACUAUCCAGUUGCCGAUUGGUACCUUUGAACUCAUGGAUAUAUGUAAAUAUGGCAUGUAUAGGCUAGUUAUAAAGAUAAUAGUUAUGGUUACUUGAGCUAGUGGUUUUGGUACAUGUUGUGGUAUAAGAUAAAGCUAUGUGAUUUGGCUUAACUUGGUAUAAUAGGUGUAUGAAAUGUUAUGGAUUAGCUGC
rnacentral:lncRNA from 1 species